UUAAGCGACUAAGCGUACACGGUGGAUGCCCUGGCAGUCAGAGGCGAUGAAGGACGUGCUAAUCUGCGAUAAGCGUCGGUGAGGUGAUAUGAACCGUUAUAACCGGCGAUUUCCGAAUGGGGAAACCCAGUGUGUUUCGACACACUAUCAUUAACUGAAUCCAUAGGUUAAUGAGGCGAACCGGGGGAACUGAAACAUCUAAGUACCCCGAGGAAAAGAAAUCAACCGAGAUUCCCCCAGUAGCGGCGAGCGAACGGGGAGGAGCCCAGAGCCUGAAUCAGUGUGUGUGUUAGUGGAAGCGUCUGGAAAGGCGUGCGAUACAGGGUGACAGCCCCGUACACAAAAAUGCACAUAUUGUGAGCUCGAUGAGUAGGGCGGGACACGUGGUAUCCUGUCUGAAUAUGGGGGGACCAUCCUCCAAGGCUAAAUACUCCUGACUGACCGAUAGUGAACCAGUACCGUGAGGGAAAGGCGAAAAGAACCCCGGCGAGGGGAGUGAAAAAGAACCUGAAACCGUGUACGUACAAGCAGUGGGAGCCUCUUAAUGGGGUGACUGCGUACCUUUUGUAUAAUGGGUCAGCGACUUAUAUUCUGUAGCAAGGUUAACCGAAUAGGGGAGCCGAAGGGAAACCGAGUCUUAACUGGGCGUUAAGUUGCAGGGUAUAGACCCGAAACCCGGUGAUCUAGCCAUGGGCAGGUUGAAGGUUGGGUAACACUAACUGGAGGACCGAACCGACUAAUGUUGAAAAAUUAGCGGAUGACUUGUGGCUGGGGGUGAAAGGCCAAUCAAACCGGGAGAUAGCUGGUUCUCCCCGAAAGCUAUUUAGGUAGCGCCUCGUGAAUUCAUCUCCGGGGGUAGAGCACUGUUUCGGCAAGGGGGUCAUCCCGACUUACCAACCCGAUGCAAACUGCGAAUACCGGAGAAUGUUAUCACGGGAGACACACGGCGGGUGCUAACGUCCGUCGUGAAGAGGGAAACAACCCAGACCGCCAGCUAAGGUCCCAAAGUCAUGGUUAAGUGGGAAACGAUGUGGGAAGGCCCAGACAGCCAGGAUGUUGGCUUAGAAGCAGCCAUCAUUUAAAGAAAGCGUAAUAGCUCACUGGUCGAGUCGGCCUGCGCGGAAGAUGUAACGGGGCUAAACCAUGCACCGAAGCUGCGGCAGCGACACUAUGUGUUGUUGGGUAGGGGAGCGUUCUGUAAGCCUGUGAAGGUGGCCUGUGAGGGUUGCUGGAGGUAUCAGAAGUGCGAAUGCUGACAUAAGUAACGAUAAAGCGGGUGAAAAGCCCGCUCGCCGGAAGACCAAGGGUUCCUGUCCAACGUUAAUCGGGGCAGGGUGAGUCGACCCCUAAGGCGAGGCCGAAAGGCGUAGUCGAUGGGAAACAGGUUAAUAUUCCUGUACUUGGUGUUACUGCGAAGGGGGGACGGAGAAGGCUAUGUUGGCCGGGCGACGGUUGUCCCGGUUUAAGCGUGUAGGCUGGUUUUCCAGGCAAAUCCGGAAAACCAAGGCUGAGGCGUGAUGACGAGGCACUACGGUGCUGAAGUGACAAAUGCCCUGCUUCCAGGAAAAGCCUCUAAGCAUCAGGUAACAUCAAAUCGUACCCCAAACCGACACAGGUGGUCAGGUAGAGAAUACCAAGGCGCUUGAGAGAACUCGGGUGAAGGAACUAGGCAAAAUGGUGCCGUAACUUCGGGAGAAGGCACGCUGAUAUGUAGGUGAAGCGACUUGCUCGUGGAGCUGAAAUCAGUCGAAGAUACCAGCUGGCUGCAACUGUUUAUUAAAAACACAGCACUGUGCAAACACGAAAGUGGACGUAUACGGUGUGACGCCUGCCCGGUGCCGGAAGGUUAAUUGAUGGGGUUAGCGGUAACGCGAAGCUCUUGAUCGAAGCCCCGGUAAACGGCGGCCGUAACUAUAACGGUCCUAAGGUAGCGAAAUUCCUUGUCGGGUAAGUUCCGACCUGCACGAAUGGCGUAAUGAUGGCCAGGCUGUCUCCACCCGAGACUCAGUGAAAUUGAACUCGCUGUGAAGAUGCAGUGUACCCGCGGCAAGACGGAAAGACCCCGUGAACCUUUACUAUAGCUUGACACUGAACAUUGAGCCUUGAUGUGUAGGAUAGGUGGGAGGCUUUGAAGUGUGGACGCCAGUCUGCAUGGAGCCGACCUUGAAAUACCACCCUUUAAUGUUUGAUGUUCUAACGUUGGCCCGUAAUCCGGGUUGCGGACAGUGUCUGGUGGGUAGUUUGACUGGGGCGGUCUCCUCCUAAAGAGUAACGGAGGAGCACGAAGGUUGGCUAAUCCUGGUCGGACAUCAGGAGGUUAGUGCAAUGGCAUAAGCCAGCUUGACUGCGAGCGUGACGGCGCGAGCAGGUGCGAAAGCAGGUCAUAGUGAUCCGGUGGUUCUGAAUGGAAGGGCCAUCGCUCAACGGAUAAAAGGUACUCCGGGGAUAACAGGCUGAUACCGCCCAAGAGUUCAUAUCGACGGCGGUGUUUGGCACCUCGAUGUCGGCUCAUCACAUCCUGGGGCUGAAGUAGGUCCCAAGGGUAUGGCUGUUCGCCAUUUAAAGUGGUACGCGAGCUGGGUUUAGAACGUCGUGAGACAGUUCGGUCCCUAUCUGCCGUGGGCGCUGGAGAACUGAGGGGGGCUGCUCCUAGUACGAGAGGACCGGAGUGGACGCAUCACUGGUGUUCGGGUUGUCAUGCCAAUGGCACUGCCCGGUAGCUAAAUGCGGAAGAGAUAAGUGCUGAAAGCAUCUAAGCACGAAACUUGCCCCGAGAUGAGUUCUCCCUGAGACUUAGAGUCUCCUGAAGGAACGUUGAAGACGACGACGUUGAUAGGCCGGGUGUGUAAGCGCAGCGAUGCGUUGAGCUAACCGGUACUAAUGAACCGUGAGGCUUAACCUU
rnacentral:rRNA from 2 species